CCUUUCUGUGACCAGACAACCUUUGGGGGGGAUACACCUAC
rnacentral:rRNA from 1 species